UACGAAGGGGGCUAGCGUUGCUCGGAAUUACUGGGCGUAAAGGGAGCGUAGGCGGAUAGUUUAGUCAGAGGUGAAAGCCCAGGGCUCAACCUUGGAAUUGCCUUUGAUACUGGCUAUCUUGAGUAUGGAAGAGGUAUGUGGAACUCCGAGUGUAGAGGUGAAAUUCGUAGAUAUUCGGAAGAACACCAGUGGCGAAGGCGACAUACUGGUCCAUUACUGACGCUGAGGCUCGAAAGCGUGGGGAGCAAACAGGAUUAGAAACCCCCGUAGUCC
rnacentral:rRNA from 1 species